AACCUUAUUUUCAAAGUUAACAUCAGGCGAAUGUGAAUCAAGUUAAUCUUUUGUCAUAUUUUUGUAGGUUGAAAAAAAGUUGUGAAAUAUCUAGGGCAGUUAGAACUAGUGUAUCAGAAUACUGGUGGCCAGCUUGGGCGUCCAUUUUAUCUUCAUGUUUAUAUGUAUAAUGAUCGCAAAACCCAGAGGUGUUUGCUUCAUAGCGGAGUACUUUACGCCUGGCUAUUGUUUGCAUGAGAUGGCAUACAGCUACCCUUUUGCUGGACUACAAAUUGAGGACAUGGUAACCAAGGGAGAACGUCUUGUGACUCUUGUUUCAGAAAUAUUUGGGCUUAAACCAGUGAAACAAAAACUAGGAAACAUGCCAGAUCUUGUUGAAAUCAUCUAUUAUGACGGUAUGGAGAAAAAGGCUCUUGUCCUUUUUAUAAUUUGAUAUUUCUGAUAUAUAUUGUUUCUGUGUACUAUUUUUAUCGAAAUCUAUUCAAUAGACAUAAUAGAUUAUAAGAAUGUUGUGAUUUUUCAAAUCAGGCGUAGCAUUUAAUUUAUAGCAACAGAAACAUUGGGUAUAUUAAUAAGUAAAAUUGAAACCGAUUGCAAGAAGUAUAAGUAAAAAAAAAGUUAACUGAAAUACCAACCGAUAGCGGCAGGUACUAUACAGUAAAAGUAGAUUUUCUUCCACGCUUACGUUUCCAAUGACAACAACUUAGAUAGAUUGAUUUUAAAAACAAAUUUCUUGUAUAAACAUUAUGAUUCUUGUACAUUGAUUAUGGAAAGGCGCCACUGUCUGUGGUGUUCAUACAUAUUAUUAUCCUGUCAAAACUUUCUGUAAUUAUGUGACUAUUUUUGCACCACACUAUGAUAUAACAACGUAGCUGUUUAACAUAAUAACGAACUACAGUGAAACACCGCUCGCUCGAGGUCGCAAGGGGGUGAGCAAAAUGCUCGAGUUAUCCAUGGUUUCAAGCGACCCAAACAUUGACCAACAUACGAUGAAAAAUUGAAGUUUUAUUGUAUCAAUUGUCAUCGGGACCAUUGGCAGAGGAAACGGUGAUGCGUAAUAAUAACAAACCCGUGACAUUUAAGAAAACGUAUCACAAACGUUAUCUAUGAAGUAAUAAGUAAUUACAUACUUGCUUUAAUCUAAAGCAAACAGUAAUUGAUCAACAUUUCAUCAAUAAAACUUUUCUUUAACCUUUCAUCAAUAAUUAAUCUCAUUAUCAGAUCAAAUAUACCGACAAACAAACAUUUAAGAUAGUCGGGGAAUAGACAACGCAAUUUUCACGGCGUACGAAAAUUUUUAAUUAACCGAUACAUUCUGAUCGCCGAAGCUGUGAAAUAUUUUGACACCUCUGCUCGAGUUAACCAGAAGCAAAAAGGAGUAAAUUAAUACACAGGGACCAGGUGUCAUGCUCGAGCGAUCGAGUUAUCGAUGCUCGACCCAGCCAUGGUAAUUUCACAUAGGAAACAGAAGGAAAUUGGCCGGGACCAUAUGAAUUGCUCGGGCGAGCCCGGGUGCUCGAGUCAUCGAUGCUCGAGCGAGCGGUGUUUCACUGUA
rnacentral:lncRNA from 1 species